CCUUCCUGUGGUUUUCGAACGUCUCUUCCUGGCUAAAGUCAUUGUGGAUUUCCUGACCUCUCCAAACAGACAGCUUAGGACCAUUAACUAUGUAGCUCCAUCUUUGAAAGAUCCAAUCUUUGUAUUCCCUUCUCUGCUUUCCAUAACUUUUUAAUAACAGAAACAUGUCACAACAGAAAUUGCGCCUGGUCUGGUACAGGCUGUGCUCUCCAUGGCACAUAUAUUACUGAGGCGGAGGUGGCUUUGCUUUGGCUUGACACAAACCCAAUCAGGGUAUGAAACUCUGAAAAUAUUCGUCUUUAUCUGCAGCCUCACAGUUGUUAGGGAAGUGGGAAUGAUAUUGAUGGGUAUAUAUCUCCUUGUAGUCCACACCAAAGAGGAAGAGAGAGAAACCCUUGACAUUUAUCUCUUAAACAAGACAUGUGAGCAGCCAAAUGCCAUUUGACAGGACAAAUAUUUACUGCGGCUGCAAACAGCCCUGAACAUCGGUGCAGAAAACUCCAAGACUCUGAGCCAAGCUGAUCAGCAUUCAACGGAGAUACCAGGUCCCAAGUGCUAGGGAUUAAGAGCACCAUUUAACACUGAGCUCUGGACAAGAUUUGUCCUGUUGGCCCUGUAUCCCAACUGGGCAUUUUGUUUUCAUUUCCUGGAUUCUCCAUGGACUCAUGUUCUUCAGGGUGAGUGGCUGUGAGCCCUUUUCAUUCUCCUAAACUCUGAUCUCCCGGCUGAUCUUUCACAGAGCAGUCAGCUGGAUUGCAGGGUUCUUGCUAGUUCUCCUCCAAAAAAGAAAAUUGGAUUCCUGAAGGCCCACAGGAGCAUCACUGCUAAUAGCAGGCAUCGAGAAGAGAGACCCAUCUAGAGACCCUGGCGAGAAAAAGCUUGAAGGCAGUUUUUUGCAACAGUGUCAGCAGCAGACCACAUUUGGGGUGGGGGGGAUUUCCACUAACAAGCUUGACGGUGGAGAAGCUCUGCUUACUUCAGCAGCAUUAUUUUUUUAGACAGAAGUGUCUGAUUAAGAACCUUGUAGGGUGAUGGCGUUUAAUUGACACUGGCCACAAAGGCAUCUGAGAGGCUUUAUCUUCUGCCUUUCAUUUGCGAUACUUCAAGUUCUGCUGCUGCAGGCAACAUUUGGAAAGGACUCUUUAUCAGUCAGCUCCCCUGGGGUCCGAGUAAACCUUCUUUUCCAAGGAGGCAACCUGUGUCUGGAGUCCUGCUGCUUGCUUCCUUUGCUUUCUGGUUUGGUUAUAUUCUAACUUCUCAUUGCCUCACAACUCUCCUCAACUAGCCUUUUUUUUAUCUAACUAUUUUCUUGUGUGUGUGGCAAGCCCUCAUUAAAUGUUAGCUCUCAUUAUUACCAUUUUGACAAAUGCCACAGCAGAACUGUGCUGAGGAGGUACCUUGGUCAAGAUAAAAGGAACUGAGUGCAGGCUUUUGGUUUGAAAAGAUGAAAAGAGUUACAAAGAUGGAUGGUGGUGUACAGCAAAGUGAUUCAGCUACACCUACCUACAUACAUAAUAUGUGUGUGUUCGCAUAUAUACAUAUACAGAGAGAGAGAAAUAAAAUGUUGUCUGCAACACCAGUAAACAAAAGAUGUCAUCGCCAAGGGCUAUUGCAGCUGAUCCUAAGCCCUAGGAAAAAAAUGCACUGAGUAAUGGUGGAGACAUGAGCCCACUCAGGAGAGAGGCAGCAACACAGAGGCACUUCGGCAGGGGCGGUCCCGGGCAUCACUCCAUCCUGCCAGAGGGCACUUCGCAGAGGCCUCAGCCUGCUGGGAAGAGCAGCUACUCUUCAUUCAUGAAGUCUUGAUUAUCACUGGGGGUACAGCUCAAAGCCAGAGCACGCUGCAGUGUUUGGGGUGGGCUGUGCUGAAAUGGAAGACGAUGUGUGAGAACUGCAAGUUCCCUGGCAGACCAGCCUGCUGCCUUCUCUCUCCUCAGAAAACCUCAGGGGAAGGGCCUGAUGCAAAGCUGUGGCUGCAGCAGCUGCCUCAGAGUUUCCACAUCCUGCUUGGGAGCUCCUGUGAUCAAGCAGAGCAACUUUCAUACCCGGCUUGAAAGCCUGACUCAGUCUCCUCUUUCUCUGUACUUUUUUCAUUCACCCCACGAGCCAGUCAGUUAGUUCUCCAAAACACUUGUUGAAUGAGUAAACAAAGGAAUAAAGAGACCAGUAAAAACAA